rnacentral:rRNA from 1 species
UAGGGAAUCUUCCGCAAUGGACGCAAGUCUGACCGAGCAACGCCGCGUGAGUGAAGAAGGUUUUCGGAUCGUAAAGCUCUGUUGUUAAGGAAGAACGAGUGUGAGAAUGGAAAGUUCAUACUGUGACGGUACUUAACCAGAAAGGGACGGCUAACUACGUGCCAGCAGCCGCGGUAAUACGUAGGUCCCGAGCGUUGUCCGGAUUUAUUGGGCGUAAAGCGAGCGCAGGCGGUUAGAUAAGUCUGAAGUUAAAGGCAGUGGCUCAACCAUUGUAGGCUUUGGAAACUGUUUAACUUGAGUGCAGAAGGGGAGAGUGGAAUUCCAUGUGUAGCGGUGUAAUGCGUAGAUAUAUGGAGGAACACCGGUGGCGAAAGCGGCUCUCUGGUCUGUAACUGACGCUGAGGCUCGAAAGCGUGGGGAGCGAACAGG